rnacentral:tRNA from 1 species
GGAGCAUUUGGUAUCUCAGUGGUAGAGUACAUGCUUUGUAUGUAUGAUGUCCUGGCUUCAAACCCCACCUUCUCCC